rnacentral:rRNA from 1 species
GACGAACGCUGGCGGCGUGCUUAACACAUGCAAGUCGAACGGUAAGGCCCUUCGGGGUACACGAGUGGCGAACGGGUGAGUAACACGUGGGUGAUCUGCCCUGCACUUCGGGAUAAGCCUGGGGAACUGGGUCUAAUACCGGAUAGGACCACUGCCUGCAUGGGUGGUGGUGGAAAGCUUUUGCGGGGUGGGAUGGGCCCGCGGCCUAUGAGCUUGUUGGUGGGGGGAUGGCCUACCAAGGGGACGACGGGUAGCCGGCCUGGGAGGGGGACCGGCCACACUGGGACUGAGAUACGGCCCAGACUCCUACGGGAGGCAGCAGUGGGGAAUAUUGCACAAUGGGCGCAAGCCUGAUGCAGCGACGCCGCGUGAGGGAUGACGGCCUUCGGGUUGUAAACCUCUUUCAGCACCGACGAAGCGCAAGUGACGGUAGGUGCAGAAGAAGGACCGGCCAACUACGUGACAGCCGCCGCCGUAA